UACAGAGGGUGCAAGCGUUAAUCGGAAUUACUGGGCGUAAAGCGUGCGUAGACGGUUAUUUAAGUCGGGUGUGAAAGCCCCGGGCUCAACCUGGGAAUUGCAUUCGAGACUGAAUAGCUAGGGUGCGGAAGAGGGAAGCGGAAUUUCCGGUGUAGCGGUGAAAUGCGUAGAUAUCGGGAGGAACACCGGUGGCGAAGGCGGCGACCUGGGUAGAUACUGACGCUGAGGUGCGAAAGCGUGGGGAGCAAACAGG
rnacentral:rRNA from 1 species